GCCCAGGUGGUGGAAUGGUAGACACGCAUGUUUGAGGUGCAUGUGCUGAAAGGCUUACGGGUUCAAGUCCCGUCUUGGGCACCA
rnacentral:tRNA from 1 species